rnacentral:rRNA from 1 species
AGUCGAACGGUGAAGCCCAGCUUGCUGGGUGGAUCAGUGGCGAACGGGUGAGUAACACGUGAGCAACCUGCCCUCCACUUCGGGAUAAGCCUUGGAAACGGGGUCUAAUACCGGAUAUGAGCCUGCAUCGCAUGGUGUGGGUUGGAAAGUUUUUCGGUGGGGGAUGGGCUCGCGGCCUAUCAGCUUGUUGGUGGGGUGAUGGCCUACCAAGGCGUCGACGGGUAGCCGGCCUGAGAGGGCGACCGGCCACACUGGGACUGAGACACGGCCCAGACUCCUACGGGAGGCAGCAGUGGGGAAUAUUGCACAAUGGGCGAAAGCCUGAUGCAGCGACGCCGCGUGAGGGAUGACGGCCUUCGGGUUGUAAACCUCUUUCAGCAGGGAAGAAGCGCAAGUGACGGUACCUGCAGAAGAAGCGCCGGCUAACUACGUGCCAGCAGCCGCGGUAAUACGUAGGGCGCAAGCGUUGUCCGGAAUUAUUGGGCGUAAAGAGCUCGUAGGCGGUCUGUCGCGUCUGGUGUGAAAUCCCGAGGCUCAACCUCGGGCUUGCAUCGGGUACGGGCAGACUAGAGUGCGGUAGGGGAGACUGGAAUUCCUGGUGUAGCGGUGGAAUGCGCAGAUAUCAGGAGGAACACCGAUGGCGAAGGCAGGUCUCUGGGCCGCAACUGACGCUGAGGAGCGAAAGCAUGGGGAGCGAACAGGAUUAGAUACCCU